AUGUUCCUCUCUAUAACUUAUCUCUUCCAGGGAGCCAUGACACUAUGACUUACUGUUUGGACAAAAGCUCUGAUAUAUGUGUCAAUGAAUCAAAGCUGUUGCAGAUGCUAGAUAAAUGUAUGCCUUUCAUCGUACACCCUAUUAUUAUGAAGUGGUCUAAAACACAGCCACCAAAACAGAGGGGAGCAUUUGCUUCAACAAUUUGGAGGUUCCACCGAGAUUCCUAACGUGCCACUUGCCACUGCAGAUGGACCAGCACUCCACUUCCAAGCCUCUCAGAGCGCUCAGUAGAAGGUAAGAGGGAUACCUGUUACGAAAUCUCCUGGUGAGGGCUUGG